rnacentral:rRNA from 1 species
CAGUAGCGUAUAUUAAAGUUGUUGCAGUUAAAAUGCUCGUAGUUGAAGUUCGGAUGCAGCAGAGCUUGGAAACGCUGUUAUGGUGCUUCCGUUGCUUUUGCUUGUCCACAGUGCGUUGCAAGUACGUAUGUGCUUGUGCGUGCAUUUUACUUUGAGAAACAUAGGGUGUUCCACGCAUGUUACGGCAGGAAUAUUCCAGCAUGGGAUAAUCUGGUACGACUUCCAAUCUGCCAUUUUGGUUCGUAGGUUGGAAGUAAUGAUUAAUAGGGACUGUCGGGGGCAUUGGUAUUUGACUGUCAGAGGUGAAAUUCUUAGAUUCGUUGAGGACCAACCACUGCGAAAGCAUUUGUCAAGGAUGUCUCCAUUAA